rnacentral:rRNA from 1 species
GCUUCCUCAAUCGAGUGGCGAACGGGUGAGUAACGCGUGAGGAACCUGCCUCAAAGAGGGGGACAACAGUUGGAAACGACUGCUAAUACCGCAUAAGCCCACAGGUCGGCAUCGACCAGAGGGAAAAGGAGCAAUCCGCUUUGAGAUGGCCUCGCGUCCGAUUAGCUAGUUGGUGAGGUAAUGGCCCACCAAGGCAACGAUCGGUAGCCGGACUGAGAGGUUGAACGGCCACAUUGGGACUGAGACACGGCCCAGACUCCUACGGGAGGCAGCAGUGGGGAAUAUUGCACAAUGGGGGAAACCCUGAUGCAGCGACGCCGCGUGGAGGAAGAAGGUCUUCGGAUUGUAAACUCCUGUUGUUGAGGAAGAUAAUGACGGUACUCAACAAGGAAGUGACGGCUAACUACGUGCCAGCAGCCGCGGUAAAACGUAGGUCACAAGCGUUGUCCGGAAUUACUGGGUGUAAAGGGAGCGCAGGCGGGAAGACAAGUUGGAAGUGAAAUCUAUGGGCUCAACCCAUAAACUGCUUUCAAAACUGUUUUUCUUGAGUAGUGCAGAGGUAGGCGGAAUUCCCGGUGUAGCGGUGGAAUGCGUAGAUAUCGGGAGGAAC